UUGCCUUCUGCUAGCUUUUGAAUUUGUUUGCUCUUGCUUCUCUAGUUCUUUUAAUUUUGAUGUUAGAUUGUCAGUUUUAGAUCUUUCUUGCUUUAUCUUGUGGGCAUUUAGUGCUAUAAAUUUCCCUCUACACAGUGCUUAAAUGUGUCCCAGAGAUUCUGGUACAUUGUGUCUUUGCUCUCAUUGGUUUCAAAGAACAUCUUUAUUUCUGCCUUCAUUUCAUUAUUUACGCAGUAGUCAUUCAGGAGCAGGUUGUUCAGUUUUCAUGUAGUUGUGUGGUUUUGAGUGAGUUUCUUAAUCCUGAUUCUAAUUUGAUUGCACUGUGGUCUAUGAGAUAGUUGGUGUGAUUUUUGUUCUUUUAUAUUUGCUGAGGAGUGUUUUACUUCCAAUAUGUGGUCAAUUUUAAAAUAAGUGCUAUGUGGUGCUAAGAAGAA
rnacentral:lncRNA from 1 species